UUUUCAUGUGAAGGACAAGAAAUGAUUUUCUACCCCUCGUGGUAGCGUACUUUAAAAAGAAAAGGCUUUCGUGUAGGAAAUGGUUUUAAAAAGGUUUUAUUAGCUUUUCAGCUCUUGGUGUUUCAAAAUAAGUUUCCGGGUAGAAAACGUUUUAAACUAAUAGUCGUGGAUUUAUAAAUUGAACUUUAAAUGGUAAAUCUGUGGUGAAUGGUGAAUGAAUGUUGAUUGUUGUUUAUUCAUUAUGGUGGUUGUAUCCUGGUUACACUCUUGUACUUAUGCGACGCCGUGCAAAUACAGGGGAGACUCUGUCCGUAUGAACAGUGGAUUCUCAGUAUUUGUGGUGGAUCUGGCGUACCCUGGGGUCAGGUUUUCAAAAGAAAAAAAAAAAAAAUUUCGUUGUGUUUUAACCUAAAAAGGACCCCAGGGCGUGACAAAGCAAGAACUAGUUAUACCGGAAAUAGGUAUAAGUAUGAAUUUUCGUAGGAAUAAGGAUAUUUUUUUGUUUGGAUGAAAAUGUGGGUAUAAGCUGGAAUUAGAAAAAUUAUAUUUGGAUAAAAAUGUGAGUAUAAGGUGGAAUAGUUGGUAGUUAUAGAUAGAAAAUAAUGAUUUUA
rnacentral:lncRNA from 1 species